GCCUCCCUAGCUCAAUGGUAGAGCAGUUGACUCUUAAUCAAUUGGUUCGGGGUUCGAGUCCCCGGGGGGGUACCA
rnacentral:tRNA from 1 species